GCCCUCCCCUCUUCACCCUCUCACCCACAUUUCCAUCCACACCACACUAUUUGUCCAAACUUUGUUUAAACGGAUCACCAAACAGGGCACAAAAAAGAAGCAAAAACAAAACCCUCACUUUCUCUCUCUUCCCUCACUUUCUCUCUCUAAAAACAUAAAAAAGUAAAAGUCGACCCACCAAAAAAAAGAUAAAGUGGAGAAUUCAAGGACUAACGGAGGCUUCCUCUGUGGUCUCUGUCCAGGAGAGAGAAACAACACAAACAAUAAGAGAGAGAAAAAUAAGGCCGUUGAUAAAACAACCGUUGAAGUUGAACCACAACACCAACCACCGCCGUCAACUAUGCAGAAAUCCGAGCACGCGCCGCCGCAACCGCCGCCGCUUCCGACGAUUCAGGGCAUCACCAAUUCCGGAAGUCUGAGCUUCAACAGUUCUACUAACAUGAAUAUGGCUGAUGAAGAGAUCACUCGCUCUGCUUUGUCCAAUUUUAGGGCUAAAGAAGAAGAGAUCGAGAAGAAGAAGAUGGAAGUUCGUGAACGUGUUCAGGCUCAACUUGGUCGUGUUGAAGAAGAGACUAAACGCUUGGCUUUGAUUCGUGAGGAGCUUGAAGCCUUAGCGGAUCCAAUGCGGAAGGAUGUGUCUGUUGUGCGUAAAAGGAUAGAUGUGGUUAACAAAGAGCUAAAGCCACUUGGUACAAAUGUCCAAAAGAAGGAAAAAGAAUACAAAGAUGCGCUGGAUGCAUUCAAUGAGAAGAACAAAGAAAAAGUACAGCUCAUAAACAAACUGGUUGAGCUGGUGGGCGAAAGCGAGAGGUUGAGGAUGAAGAAACUGGAAGAGUUGAGCAAGAGCGUCGAUUCUAUGCAAUAAUUGACUUGAACAGAACUUGUCCAUAGAUAAUUAGCGGCUAUGAGCUUUCACUCCUUCAUCUCCUCCAUUGAAGCGGCUAUGAGCUUUCACUCCUUCAUCUCCUAAUGUCCUCAGAUCACAGAUUCAAUUUAGGGCUCUGCGUACUUCGACUUCUCCAUUGAAGCGGCUUCUGAGCUAUACGCCUAUACUCCUUCAUCUCCUCCAUUGAAGCGUACUUCGACUUCUCCAUUGAAGCGGCUCUGAGCUUUCACUCCUUCAUCUCCUACAUUGAAGCGGCUCUGAGCUUUCACUCCUUCAUCUCCUACAUUGAAGCGGCUCUGAGCUUUCACUCCUUCAUCUCCUACAUUGAAGCGGCUCUGAGCUUUCACUCCUUCAUCUCCUACAUUGAAGCGGCUCUGAGCUUUCACUCCUUCAUCUCCUCCAUUGAAGCGUACUUCGGCUCUCCAUUGAAGCGGCUUUUGAGCUAACUGUUGAGGAGUGUAUGGAAUCUGGAAGUAGUGGGGAUAUGGAAGACUCAUCGGCUACAAGUCAAGCUCCUCCAAUUCCAAGUCCUCUUCCCGAGCCUUGGGAGUAUGACCCUUGUCCAAUGACGGAAAAUAAUGACCCCUUUGACCAGCAAAAUCAAUCAAACCAACCUUCAGAACCUGCUGAUGCUGCUGCCCCUUUAAGUGAAACUUCAAAAAAAUCUAGAAAAAGGCGCUCUCCUCAUUGGGAGCAUUUUAUAAAGAAGGAUGGAGAAAACAAGGCUGAAUGUAUCUAUUGUCAUACAUUCAUUGGUUGUGCAUCACUUCAAGGUACCUCCGGCAUGAAGAACCACAUAAAGCGUAAGGAAUACCCCCCUAACAUUGAUCAAAAUCAGCAACUAUUGUCCCUUAGUCAACAAACUCUUGAUGGGAAUCUCGUGGAUCAAAAAAAAGGUAGACUUGAGCCGUGGAAAUUCAAUCAAGAAGAUAGUAGGAGAGCUCUGGCAAAGAUGGUGAUCAUGGAUGAAAUGUCUUUUAGAAUGGUGGAGCAUGAAGGUUUUCGCAACUUUAUGAAGAGGAAGUAGAAGAUAUGGAUUCUGAUGUAGAUGUUGCGGAAUUAGAGUUUGAAAGGCAGGUGGGUUUAUGUGUUGGAGUACAAGGGAAAAAUGAGUUGGCCAAGUAUAUAGAAGAUGAUAGAGAAGUUAAUCUCGCCGGAAAAAGCUUUGAUUGUUUGGGGUGGUGGAAAAAAUAUGGUGAAAGGUAUCCAACAAUAGCUCUCAUGGCUAGAGAUGUACUUGCCAUUCCCGUAUCAACAGUCGCUUCCGAAUCAGCUUUUAGCACCGGUGGUCGAGUGCUUGAUUCAUUUCGCAGCUCACUCUCAACUAAGAUGGUUGAAGCCUUGAUUUGUGCACAAGAUUGGUUACAUACAUCUCAAGGUCCUCUUAUACUUGAGGAGAGACUUGAAGAUAUGGAAAAAAUUGAAUCAGAAAUGUUACCUCUUGGUGAGGAACACUCUCUCUUUGUUGAUGAUGAUUAAUUGAUUAGAGGCAGCAACUUAUAAUCAUGAAGGUUGGUGGUGAUUGUAUUGAAGGCCGGAAGUCAUUGAAGGCUUGGAGUAUUUUAUGAAAUAUGAUUACUAUGGACUGUUUUUGUUUUAAAACUAUAAACUAUGGACUUUUUUUUUGUUAUGUAUUGGUUUAUUAUUGUUAAUUAUGGACUUUUUUUUUAAAGAAACAGUAUGUUUGUAUCAAGUAUUUUGUUCAUUUGUAAUCGGGUUGAGUGCUGUGUUAUAUGUGUAUUCAGGUUUAAAUAUCAGCCUAUUAGGCUGUUAUUUGUUACAAAAAAAAUCAUAGUACUAAUAACAAUAAUUAAUACUAGAAAAACAGGUGGAAGUUCGGACAAAAAUAUUAUUAAGCAGGUGGGUACAAGGAGGAGUUCAGGCAGCCAAGUAGGAGAGGUGAGGAGGCAGCAGCCUCAAGGACAGGGACUGGUAGGUUGCCAAAGCGGAAGACAGCGAUAGUUGUAAUUAUUUUUGUUAUUUGUGUAUUUAAGUUCAAUUGUUAUAGUUCAAAAAAUAGGAAGUAAAAAAAAAAAAA